ensembl:processed_transcript Gm16169 predicted gene 16169
CAGACAACAAUUAGCAUUCAGGAUCUAAGGCACAGGAAGUGGAAGAGUGGAAACAGCAAUAAGAUCAUGUUGUCCUCUAUGAGGCUCCACCCAGCAGCUGACUCAGACAGAUACAGACACUCACAGCCAAACAGUAGAUGGAGCUUGGGGACUCUAAUGGAGGAAUGGGAGGAAGGAUUGUGGGCCAAAAAGGGAAGAAUUCACUUUUAGAGAUUUGGCCAUUUUACCCUGCAUAUGGUGCUAGAAAGUGACAACAUGACCCAAGGUCCUAAAAACUCAAGUUGGCCAAACUCUGACCUCGACGGGCUCCUCAUCAUCACAUGCUCACCCUAUAGUCAAGCAUGUGACUUCACAAGACACCCUCCCUCCCCAUGAAGCAGAUGGUAUUUAAGUGUAGUCUUAUGAAGAAAUCGCAGGUAAUGUGAAGCUAUUUCCCUGAAUUCUCUUAAGAAACUUCACUGUAUGGGCACUAACUAUGAAAAAAUACAAAUUUAUACUUAUGUCUGUUGAGUAGGUCCACCUUGGUUAGAGAAACUUAUUUUUCAGUGGGCAGCAGUAAAUGCAGACUCAAAACUGCUCAAAGUACUGAGAAUAAGUGGCUGUCCUUGCUCAGCAUUAAGUUGGACAUAUAUGUCAACCUCAUGCCACCAUCUGUCACCAAGGUUCAGCGAGUAUCACAGGAAAAGCAGCAGAGAGUUGCUGGGAAAUUCUUUCCUCUGAACAUGACAUGGCUAUUACACUAUGAACACAUACCAGUGGUGCUUAUCUGCAAGAAGAUCAAACCAAACAAAAGUGAAGAACGGAGUGGGAGGAGCUUACAAGGUUCCUCCCCUGACCGAUUAGCAUUUGAUAGCUUUUGGAGGAGGGAGAGUCAUUCUUUUUCAGGGGGAAGUGGCCAUGACAACUGAUGCGAAGCUGGAGGAGAUCCUUGUUGGGAGAGAUCCAGGAGAAAUUGGAGGGGUGAAAGAUCAUAGUUAAUUUAUGCAUAUGCAUAAAGUUAUUAAAGAAUAAACUGUUAAAAGAAAAACACAUAUUAAAUCCACAAAUAAACCUUUUCCAGAGAAUGAAAUAAUUGAAAUAGCAUACAUAAAAAUCUUCAAUUCGGAGUCCCUCGAGAAAGUUUGAGUGAAGACAGCUUCUGAUACUUUCAGAACUAAACGAAAGCUUGAUAGGUCCUCUGACCUGGACAAGGGAAGCAAGAGGAAACCAUUUGAAGUUGUCUCUCCUUGUUAAAUGUUGGGUCGGAUGGCAAGGGCCUGAGCACCAAGAACAGCAGUAUGGACUUUAAGUUACUCUAUUCACGAUGGCAAAGUAUGGCAUUUGCUAAAAUAUUUGAGGGAAACUCUUUCUAGUAGAUGCUCUAGUAGUUCUGGGUGCUUAUUCCAUCGAAGCAAAGUCAGCUGAUUGCAGGGCAGAGCUUCUCAAACUGUUUCCAUCUAUGACCCAUUUAACCUGCACAAUUUUAUAUAGCUCCCAGUAUUUAGGCAUAUAAGAUAGUAUGUAAAUUACAUAAAUACUGAUCAUAAAUCAUAAAUACUUCUAUUUUAAAGUAAUUCAUUGUCCCAAAACAAUACGGAGGGUCUUGUGCCAGCAGGAACAGGGACAAAGGAAACCCACCAGACCAGUGGCUAGGGUUUGUUCUGGUGGCGCCAGCCCUGUGCCAUCUUGGGCACAAACUCGGCAGAGGGUCCCAAGGUCCCCAGAGGAUAUUCUUCACGCCACAGGCGCCCUAGAACACCCAGGAUCUUGAGAUUACUGGUGAGUGGAAUGCGACAUCUGUUCCAAGACAACCCAGAGGGU